CCCUUAGAUGUUCUGGGCCGCACGCGUGCUACACUGAGUGGAUCAGCGGGUCAGGUUGCGCGAAAGUGUUUCCUAAUCUUGAAAUCCGCUCGUGAUGGGGAUUGACGGUUGCAAUUUUCCGUCAUGAACGAGGAAUACCUUGUAAGCGCGGGUCAUCAUCCCGCGCUGAAUACGUCCCUGCCCUUUGUACACACCGCCCGUCGCUCCUACCGAUUGAGUGGUCCGGUGAGGCUUUGGGAUCUGAGCGGAAAGAGCGUUUCGCUGUUUCUGCUCGGAAAACUCAGUCCAACCUUAUCAUUUAGAGGAAGGAGAAGUCGUAACA
rnacentral:rRNA from 1 species